CCAUUCUCUCUCUCUUGCACUCACAUACAAAGUCAGCACACCAGAGAAGGCCAUUUUUGUUUUAUUUAUUUCCCAGAAGAGCUCUUCCUUGCACUUUCCAGACACAAGAUACAAAACAAGAAACAGAACUUUGUUCCGUGUACAGAAACAGUUUGUUGGAGUAUAAAGAGUUACUGGUGAUCAUUACUGAAGAAUGUUGGCUUAUUCCAGGCGCACUUCAGUAUUCCUGAGGAAUAAUCAUUGAUUUCUUCUUCCUUCCCACUGGGGUAGUCUUAGUCAUUAGUCACUGUUCUUUUACAAAUUUACCAUGGAGAAGAUAUGGAGACUGGAAGUCAUGUUGACAAUUGGAAUAAGCCAUUCCUAACCCCAUCCCAGACCCAAAUGCAAUUGGCCAUGUCUUUCUUUUGAAGAAGAUGACUGAGAAAACAAUUCCUAACCCAAAUCCAGCACCCAGCUUGACAGCGGAGUCUGCCAGACAAUGAUCCCAAUUCCUG
rnacentral:lncRNA from 1 species